rnacentral:misc_RNA from 1 species
GAUGAAGAACGUAGCGAAAUGCGAUAAGUAAUGUGAAUUGCAGAAUUCAGUGAAUCAUCGAAUCUUUGAACGCUCCUUGCACCCUUUGGCAUUCCGAAGGGUAUGCUCGUUUGAGUGUCAUUGUACUCUCACACUUCCGAUCUUUGGAUUGGGAGCGGUGGACUUGGGUGUUGCUGCUUACUGUGGCUCACCUCAAAUCGAUUCGUGCACCUCUUGGUUGGACAUAGUACGGCGUGAUAAGUGUCUUCGCCGGCACCUCAGUAGAGGGAGGCUGAUCGGGAGCUCUGCUUCAAACCGUCCUCGGACAACAACUGACAACUUGACCUCAAAUCGAGUAGGACUACCCGUUGAACUUAAGCAUAUCAAUAAGCGGAGGA